UCCCUGGUGGCGCAGUGGGUAACACUCCGUACUCCGAAUGCAGGGGGCCCAGGUUCGACCCCUGGUCAGGGAA